UACGUAGGGUGCGAGCGUUAAUCGGAAUUACUGGGCGUAAAGGGCGCGUAGGCGGCCUGCUAAGUCGAACGUGAAAUCCCUGGGCUCAACCCAGGAACUGCGUCCGAUACUGGUUGGCUUGAAUCCGGGAGAGGGAUGUGGAAUUCCAGGUGUAGCGGUGAAAUGCGUAGAUAUCUGGAGGAACACCGGUGGCGAAGGCGGCAUCCUGGACCGGCAUUGACGCUGAGGCGCGAAAAGCUAGGGGAGCGAACGGG
rnacentral:rRNA from 1 species